rnacentral:lncRNA from 1 species
CUGAAGAACUGGUUCCCAUGGCAACUUAUCAUAACAUGCAUCUUAUAAAGGAUGUACCAGGCCAGACCCAGCCAACUGGUUUGACCAACUUUACUGUGCACCCUAUAAUAAACACCAGAAUCCUUUGCAAUAUAUAGGUGAUUUUGUGACAGACAUUAACCUGUUCUUCAGCAGACAAACUGGAAUGGAAAGAAUUGCCUGAAGAUAGAAAGACUGGAAGCCAUUGCCUCAAGUUACAAAGGUGAUAAUGUAUUACUGUACUUUUACUUUCCUGCAGCACACUUUAAUAAUAAUAAUAAUAAUAAUAAUAAUAAUAAUAAUUUAUUAUUUAUACCCUACCCAUCCGGCUGGGUUUCCCCAGCCACUCUGGGCAGCUCCCAACAGAGGACUAAAAACACAAUAAAACAUUGAAUAUUAAAAACUUCCCUAAACAGGGCUGCCUUCAGAUGUCUUCUAAAAGUCAGAUAGUUGUUUACUUCCUUGACAUCUGAUGUGAGGGCAUUCCACAGGGUGGGCACCACUACCAAGAAGGCCCUCUGCCUAGUUCCCUGCAAUCUCACUUCUCACAGUGAGAGAACCGCCAGAAGGCCCUUGGAGCUGGACCUCAGUGUCCGGGCUGAACGAUGGGCGUGGAGAUGCUCCUUUUGCCUUAUUAUUGGGCUCCUUGUUCUUCUCUCAUGAAGAAUUCAGCUAUUCAUUUUGGAGGUGUAUACAUGCCCUUUCAUUGACAGCUAAUAACCCUUGUAUUUCCAAUUUGCACAAAAUGCUUGCUCCCACCCUUGCAUGCAAUAGUGUAAUAAUCGAAAAGAGCCACCCUGAACACUGUGUUUACAAUGGAACAAUAGGAAAUACUGCUUUUAAAUUAAAUGGGGGGGGGGGGAGGAAGGAAGUGUUUUCAAGAAUGACACAUUACUCAACUAUUUUUGUAAAGUGUUGCCCUGAAUCCAGAAACCAUUUAAUUUGAGCACUAAAGCAUGAUUCUACCGGCGCAUUGGAUCUUCCUUCAACAACUAAAUUGGAUUUAGUUCUGAACUAUUCCUAAGGAAGCCGCUGGAGUUGAGACACUGCCAGUGGCAAACAUCAGCAGGAAACUAGUGAUAAAAUUCUGGUGCAAAUGCUUGACUCCUUGACGCUUUGAGAGAAAAAGGGUGCCUAAUCUUUGGCUGCUUUCAAAGAGAACUAAAGCAGUCAUUAAUGAUCUAGUGUAAUCAUUAGUGACAGUACUGUGUCCUACAUUUCUUAGAUCAGUAAUAUGAAUCUCAGCAGCUCACAACACUUGUCUCAAAUUAUAAGCAAGCUCUUAUCCAGUUCAGAUUUUAAUCUGAUCCAAAUCAGAAGCCCCGCCUCCCUCACCCUGAUACCUACUCCCCUCUAAACACCCUCUCCUUCUUUUCCACCCACUGGGUGGGGCACACAGGGACAGUUGCCCCAGGUUCAAAAUUGUCAGGGGUGCAAAAUUUCAACACCCAGUGCUGACUCAGUACAGCUGUGCACUGUAUCUGGGCUCCAUUGAAAACGGCUUCUCUGUGUGAACCAGGAAGUGACUUCUCCAGACAACGUGUACUCCAUCUCCCUCCCUGCCAUUCACGUGGCCCCAGGUGCUGGCAACCCACACUACGCCACUGUGCCACAUUGUUUACAAGAAACUAAGUACAGAGAAGAGAGUUUUAUGGCUUAAUAGAAAACAGCACUGAGAUGCCUUCUCAAUAUAGACCAGAAACAUAUUGUUGCAUGCCACCCCUAUCUCUGAGCGGUGUGAGAUUCCAGGGGUUCCAAACAGUUACCCAGGUGUUAUAUACUGAGUUGAAUAGGAUCCAAAAGGCAGCAGUCUGAUUGGACCCUAGAACAAUAGGGUCCAGAAUGCAGCAGUAUGAUUGGUCUGCAGAAGCCACCCAAUCCAGCUCCAGGUGGAAGUGAAUCCACAACCUGAUUGGCCUACAGGAGAAUCCCAGCAUUAGCCAAUCAUGUGUGGCCCAUUGUGUAAAUAAUGUAUAUAAAGCAGAUAUUUUGGGGGAACUCUCAUUCCUCACUACUAUGAGCUGAAUAAAGAGCAUGAAAUCCACACUCGACUCUGAGUAUAUUUCACCAGGGUUCCUGUUUCCUUCUGGGAAUGAGGCACAGUAGAGACUAUGGUGUCUUUGUGAUAUAUGGUUUAUUCACACAUAUAUACAUCCUGAGCCUACGAUGGAGGAGUUCAGCGCAUCAACAUUCAAAAAGGGUCUUGUAUCUGUGAGUUGAGGGAAAGUCCCUCCUCAUUUGCUAUCUCCCACAGAGCCCCUUUCUUUCUCCUUACACCUCAAAAAGUGGUGUAUAAGUAGAAGUAAUAUGCACACAAACAAUACAUAAGCAUAGGCUAAACUCCCUCCUCUUGAAAUGGAGGAAUGUAGAAUGUGCUUAUACAAGUAUUUGGCUUGGAUCAUGCAGCACUGUUACAUCAGCUCUGUCACUCUUGGCCCAACAUAAGCAGAAAAGUCAAUAUGGUUAUAACAGGGGCAGUAAAUCUGUGACCUGCCACAUGUUGUUGGAUUACAAUGCCCUCAUCAUCCCUGACCAUUGGCCAUGCUGGCUGUGGUUGGUGGGAGCUGAACAACCUUUGGAGGACCACAGGUUCCCUAUGUUAAGGAUAAGGGUUCAGCUUUCUGGAAUGGGAAUGUUUGCUUAUGUUGAAUUGCUGUGUAUUUCUAGCAUGGGGUUUUUCCUUUGGCAGUAGCUCUCUCAUGUGACUGGCUGACUGUGAGUCACAUGAGAGAAGCAUUCCAUUCUGUUGUGACUGUUAUUCAAGUAACUGUCAUUUUUAACUGUUUUCUGUUCUUUCUCUCUCUGUUUAUGAAGGAGAAUGGCUGAUGAGAGAGGUUUCCCUGGAUGCUGCAGAGGACAGUGUGUGUCAGUGUGGUCUGUCUGGGGUGAAGCAGACAGAGGAAGAUCCCUAAAUGUUAAUAGGGAGAAACCUGUGCUGUCUAUAAGGAACAAAGCGAAUAAGCAUGAGAUAUGUUCUUCUCAAUUAUAUGUUUAUGAAAGUAAACGUCUUUUGAAUAUAGAGUCUGAACACUGCAUAUAUUCAAACUAUAUAUAUAUAUAUAUAUAUUCAAACUUUAUGUAUCUAUAUCUAUAUCAUCUAAAUCUAUAUCUACACACACACACACACACUCUCAUCCUACCCCGGGUUGUGAAAACUGUCUUUCUGUUUCAGUGUUUCCCAAAAGUAGUUCUGCUUCAUCCCAAUUCUUCUUUCUUUUCCAGGCUAUAUUUAUAGGAUGACUGUAAGCCAUAGGAAGAGAGAUUUACUGUCAUCUUCAAUGAACUACCUGGCAAGCCCUAUUGAUGUUACAUAUCUAAGCAAAGACCAAACUAAUUGUGGAAAAACACACAUCUUUAUCUAGGUCAUUAAUACAUCAAGCGAAACUCCAUAAAUAUGGUCUCAUUCGGUGGCUUGGGAUCUCUGUUAGUACUCUUAUGAUCUCCGAAGGCCUCUUUGGAUUUGACACACCAAGGCAGUAUUUAUGCCUCUUUGGCAUAUCCUUAAUAUUUCAAUGGUGACAUUGUCCUUAUAGUCCUUCGAGUUCCCUCCCCGCCAUAAAAGAGAAGCAGGUCCCAAAGCUAAACGAAAUGUAUGAGGACUACAGACAUGAAGCAGACACACAUCAGGUGCAGCAGGACGCCUGCUUUGCGUCAGCUUUCUACCUACUGCCUUUCAAACAGGCAGCAAGACAAUCCUUCAUUUUACCUGUUUGGAUGCUGAACAGGCCUCUUUUCAUACAGCAGACAUUAACCAGUGAAGGUGGACAGGUGUUCUCCAGAAACGCUUGGACCAGGGACGUUUGGAAACUUGCUCGUUAUCUGGCAAUCAGAGCACAAACAUGCAAUUUAUCCCCCUGCCUACCUAUAUUCCACUCCUCAGUCAGGUGCAGGCUACUUUGACAUUUACAGGAUGGGUCGUGGUUCUGCCAAAAUCCCAUUCAUUCCAGUGGUAGAGACUGAAACGGAGCUUUAAAGUACAGACCGCGACUGUGAAGAGAAAAGAGAAAAGGUAAGUGUGGAGAAGCUCUGUGUCUCCUUAGCUGAGCCCAACAUUUUGAGAAUCUCCACCGUUAUUAUUUAAACAGCAUCUAUAUUUCUGCAUGAAAUAUCCUCUGUAAUGUUGAACAAGACCCAGAUACCAAAAUCCGUAAACAUGCAUUGCUGCAACAUGAGAGAAGUGGACUCACUUCCAGAAAUCAUAGUGUCCAGAUCUGGGGCCGAAAGCUAAAAAUAGCUAAAACAAACAAGGAUAGAUUAUUUCAGUGAAGGGCCGUUUAAUGGAUACAUGUAACUUCCUAGCAUUUUGUAAAUAUAUGUUUUUAAUGGUAAAUGGAAAAAAAGCAGUAACAAAUUAGAAAUCAGUUAAUAAAAGCAUCUUUCUCCAUGCAAGACAUUACGAUUGUAUUUAAACAAUUCUCAUUUUUAAAUGUUGCCUUUGCUGCUGCUAGUCUGAAGUCAAGUUCACCAUAUUACCUAAGGCUGCAAUGCACACUUAGUAAGGAAUAAAUCCCAUUGGGCCCAGUAGGACUUACUUCUGACUAAACAUGCAUAGGAUUGUGCUGCAUAUGGUAUGAACUAAUUAGUGUGUGUGUGUGUGUGUGUGUGUGUGUGUGUGUGUAGGGGGGAACAGGAUUAUGUAUUUCAUGUUGAGCCCAACACGUGGAAAAUAUCAAGAUAGGAAUGCAGUGUCUACAUUAGCUAAGAAUGUCGUAAAUGUGGGCCAGAUCCCAAACUUGCCAUAGUAAGACGAUUCAGAGGAAAGGAUUAGGACAGAGAAAACUGACUACUACAUGUAUUCCUGGAAAUUAAUUUCAUAUGAAAAUUUAUUUAGCAAGUGAUAUAAAUAACAUUAUUCUUCACUAUUGUUGUGCCAUGCCAUAGACAGCAGUUAUGAGCCUUCAUAAAUCUGUGAGAACUCAGACAGAUAUUGAGGGACAAGCAUCACUCUUCACUUGUUCACAUUAACUCAUAAAACUAACACAGCUAUCUUCUUUUGGCCACUAGGCCAAAGAUCCUCUUGCUCUCUCUUGUCCCAGCCACUGUUUAUGCUCUGAUCUUCAAGCUGUAUAUGAAACUGGCUGAUGAUGCGCUCAACAAUUUUGUGGGUAUCAGGCAUAUUACUUUUUGAAAUAUGGCAAGCCUACAGCAUCUUGUGUUCCUGUCUCUUUUUCUGCCCUUUUUUUAAGAUAUGGCGGCCAUUUUUGUGUUACAUUACACAACUUGCAGCAGCCAUUUGGUGACUAGCACCUACCUACAACAUUUUCUCUAAAUUUCAAAUGUCCUCCCUGGUCCAAAGAGGACGGCAACCCCAGCUUAAUCACUCAAGGUUAACGAAUUUGCAUGUUUUCAAAAGAAUCCGUGGAUUAGAACAUUCCCAAAGGAACAAAGCUUCCCAGGUUCUCGUUUUAAAAUGUCAAAGAUGAUUUGUGUAUCUGAAGAAGUGUGCAUGCACACGAAAGCUUAUACCCAGAACUAUUAGGAUAUAAUUCCAUUCCACCUUAAAAGGGUACAGGGAUGACGUUUGUGUAUCACAUGCCUGUUUACUCCCAGCACUGUCUGCUGGGAACUUUCGUUGUGUAUAGCUUUUGUGCUAGCGCUGUUUUGCUGGACACGAAGGCAAGCAGUUAUGGUUUCCUUUGUUCCUGAACUAUGCUGA